GAUGAACGCUAGCGGCAGGCCUAACACAUGCAAGUCGAGGAGUAGAACACUUCGGUGUUUGAGACCGGCGCACGGGUGCGUAACGCGUAUGCAAUCUACCUUAUACAGGGGAAUAGCCCAGAGAAAUUUGGAUUAAUGCCCCAUAGCAUUACGACUUGGCAUCAAGAUGUAAUUAAAGUUCCAACGGUAUAAGAUGAGCAUGCGUCCCAUUAGUUAGUUGGUAAGGUAACGGCUUACCAAGACGAUGAUGGGUAGGGGUCCUGAGAGGGAGAUUCCCCACACUGGUACUGAGACACGGACCAGACUCCUACGGGAGGCAGCAGUGAGGAAUAUUGGUCAAUGGUCGCAAGACUGAACCAGCCAUGCCGCGUGCAGGAAGACGGUCCUAUGGAUUGUAAACUGCUUUUAUACAGGAAGAAACCCUCCCACGUGUGGGAGCUUGACGGUACUGUAGGAAUAAGGAUCGGCUAACUCCGUGCCAGCAGCCGCCGUAA
rnacentral:rRNA from 1 species